CCCCGUGAGGAGGUGGUGGACAGCCAGCGCUAGUGGCGGGAGGACGCGGUGUUGGCAAGGUGGCACCGACGUCGGCCCGCCGCCAGACCAGGCGCUAGCUCGCAGCCGGCCCUCGUCGUGGCGGCCCGCCAACCCGCCUCCUCUACACGCCUCCGCAUCGUCUCGCCGUCCCCGUGUGCCCACGGCCUGCCCUCGUCGCGGCCGCCUGCCAGCUCGCCUCCUCCUCCACGCAUCGUCUCGCCGUCCCCCCGUGAAGUCGUCCGGCUGCAGUGCGCUCAAGGAGGCUGAGGCUCGCCUGUCUGACGUGCCCCUCACCACGCCCUUCACCAUCACAUCCUUGCGCCUCGAGACAAUCUCCAACAUCGCCGUGCACGUCAAGCUCCGCAACGGCGCCGUCGUUUAAGGGGAGGUUGACCUCCACCUUCCACCCGGCUCCUGUGAGGAUUGAGGGCACACACCGGCCUGCGAGUGGCCAGCCACGGCCAUGGCUGACCUUGGGAAUUCCAACGCAAUGUGAGCUCGCUUCUUCCCGUGAGCAGUGAAUGAUGGUUGUGAUUCUACAAAUACGUUGUCCUCCUGCGCCUCCUGCACUCCUUAUGAUUCAAGUGCAUACACCUUGUCAGCAGCUUCCAAAGUGUUCGACAGAAUGCUUAUGAGGAGGCCAACAUGAAGAUAGUAGUUGUUUCAUCUGCACAUAAACAACAGGUCUACCUGCCUGGUUAGAAUUUUCCCUCUACUUUGACUGGUUGUUGGUUCGAUCUAUACGAUUUACAACUUUAAUACUUUAUUGCUUAUGCUCUACUACUUCCACUGGACUGAAGUUAAUAGAUGAGAACUAAUUUGUAUUGCCACAGGUACAUUCAUCUAGGACACGAAAUUCUUUUCUACUUCACCUCCUAUUGACCUCUGUGCUUUAGUUUCCUUUUCCCUUUGGGUGGACAGAAGAUUGACCCAGUGUGGAGUGGUCUGAUUUGGGAGAGGAGCAAUUCGAUGGGAACGGGGCUGGCAGUCUAGCAAGCCAGUAGCUCAGUGCUUGCAUCCUGCAGUGUAGCCACGGAAGCAUUCCUCACAACUGAACAACAACAUCCAGCACAUGUCUGAUUGAAGCUAUAUAGAACCUCAAUGGCUAAAAGAUUAAGGAUGCCUUAAGGUAAAUUAUUUUUCAUGGUUGAAGUAUUCAGAUGAUUUCUGUUCACAUAGUAAGUUGCUCCCUUUUAGAUACAAUGUGGACUUUUUCAUCAUUUAUGCUGUGCAAAGAUGAAAUAGAUAUGAAUCUGACUCAAGCCAGCUGUUGUAAUUUUCUGAAAAAUAGACUUCAUUCCGCAACAUAAUUAUUUCUAUAGAAAAGUUAACAUGGAACAAAGGAAAAGUGGUUUGUCAACCAUAUUGUCAUGGUAUAUAUUUUUGCUGUCAUUCCUGAACCUAAUUUCUACAAGGACCAAAACAAAGGGUUAGGUUUUUAAUGGUUAUGAGUUUUAUAAUUUCAUUGUUGCCUCAUUGAAGUAUUUGGGUUACGAACCUCAAUCGCUUUUACAAAAUAUUGUUGGGAUUCUCAUUGGAAAGUAUUAUGAAUUAAAUUAGAUACUGCAAGUGCUAAUAUCGGAAGAGGUAAAGUGCUAAUAUUGUAAAGUAGCAUGAAUUAAAUUAUAUACUACAAGGCUAAUAUUGGAAUUGCCUCUUCCGAUAUUAGCACUUGUAGUAUCAAAUUUAAUUCAUGCUACUUUCCACUUGAGAACAAAGUGCUACUGCCUCACAUAGUUAAUUUGCCACCACACAGGUGAUAGUGAAAGGUAGACUACAGGUAUGGAAAGAUUUAGCUUUACACUUGAUAACUUUGUGGACGACUGCAUUGCCAUUACUAAUAAUCUAACAACUGUACUACUCAUGGUACUGGCAGAAGAGUGAAAAAAGUCUGGUGCUACCUGUAGUGUCUAGAACGUAACUUGGUAAGCUUAUCUUGCUUCUCCUCUUUUUUUUUAUUAAUAGACAAUGCUACAAAUAGCAAUUGAUUGUUCGCUCAUCCAUGCUGCAUUGCUGCAUAUUACUAAUUCCACUGUUUGCCCUUACAUCUAUCAAUAAAUAGUAUGCAGUGUACACUAUCUAAAAAUAUUACCUAUAAUUCCACUGAAGUUAUAGAUAGUAGAAAGUUCCUCUGACAGUAUCUCUUAUGAUACUUCUCUUUCUUUUUUAGGUUCUUCUCCUUUUUCAUUACUUUGGUCUUCACUUUUUGUAUUUGAUUAAUGCCUUCUAUAUACCUUGGUCACCAUUUUCUUAUUACAAAAAAAUAGAGCUGUGUGAAGAUCCAGAUAUGGUUAGAGAAGCCUUACACUUUAGGAGGGAGAGAAGGCUGGGGCUAGUCCCCCCUAUCCUAGCUUUAGUAUUGUUAUGUGUAAAUGCACUUCUCUGUUUAGAUUCCUGCUGUACAAAUAAAUAAUAUCUUCCCUGCUUAGAUGUUCCAUUACAAACAUAUAAAUUUGAUAUUUACUUCUACCGGGGAAAAAAUAAGAAAAGGACUAUUUGACAUAUAGAGAAUAUAUUAACACUUCCAGGUGAAAGCUUGCUAUUUGACAUAGUAUUAUCCUUCUACUGGAUAGAUAUCUCCGUAAUAUAUUGCAUACCAUCUCCAUUUCCUUUUGGUUUCGGACAGAGAAAUACCUGGGAGGUCCCUCGCAUCUCUGGUCCUCCACAUGUCAUCCGUGUUCAGCAAUAGUGCUCAAAGUGAAUUGAAGGAUUUUAAACUGAACGUAAGCAAGGGCCUGACUUAAUUCGGCAUCUUCUAUUAUUGAUGCCAACUCAUGGCCUGUUUUGUUUGCUCAGUCGUAUUUCAACUAUGUAGGAGUUUUCUACAAAGUGUUAUCGGUAUGCAAUGCUAUAACAGUUCUUGUCUCUUCACUAUCCACUAUGAAAUUGUAUUUUCUUGCUGAAUGUCCAUGUAUACUGAACCACAUAUGUGAAAAAUUUAUUACAUUGUGAUGUGUUGCUGAAUUUGCAAAACACAAAGAUUUUUUCCCUUUGUGCAAAACACACAUUGUGAUUGUGGCAGCUGACAAGGGAGGGUCUGCAGGAUUAUAGCUUCUUGUGCUUAUGGCCUAUAGUUGUACCGCAGUCACGGGUUAUAAAACUACUGCCAUGUUUACACCAUGCCGUCCCCCACCAUUGUCUGAAGUAAUACAUCAUAUGUAGCGUAAUGGUACAUCAAGAGAUAUAUGAGUAGUACUAUAGCAAGCAGGUCUCACUAUACCUUAAUUUACUAGGUGAUGCAGAUACUGAGUGGUACUAUUACCAGAAAACUGGUCUAUGGUUGCAGGCAGAGGGUUUUAAACGGAUUGUGACAAUGUUCUAGUGCUCUAUAUUGUGCCGAGCUGCUCUACAAGACUACAAUGGUUGGAAGGCUGCUAGAAAGUUACUGGACUCAAAUAAAUCAAUUGUCUGGGCUACAGACUGCCCUCGCUCUUAUCCGCUCGGCUACAGUAGAGGGGGAGAAAAGGGCGACACCGAGGCGGAGAAGGCUUCCGGCGGCGAUUUCGCCGGCCCCCCUCCUCUCCGGCGGCCGGUCCGGCGUCGGAGGGGGGGUGGGCCGCGGAAUCGCCGUGCGGAUGUAUAUAGACUAGGAUGUAGGUUUCCUAGGUCUAGGUUUGGCUCGCCGUCGCUGCUUGGCGGCGGAGCUAGGUCUAGCUUGCCGGCGUGUGUCGGUCGAGCUUCCUCUGCCGGAAGUGGUGCCUGUUGUGGACCUCUUCGUCGGCAAAUAAGUUUCUCCGCUGGAGGCGUCGGCGGUUCCUGCAUCUCCGGUGCGGGCGCCUUUGCUCUCCGGCGUGCAGAAGUCUUUUGUCCUCUCCUCUUCUCUGGUGGUGUCGAUGGCGUUGCCGUCGGCCACGGAGACGUUGAAUUGAGGUACGUUCUGGCCCGUGUCCAUCUCUCUGGGUUGGGAUUGGACUUCUUGUGCUCCCCUGUGUGCUGCUGGGGUAGCUUCCUUUUCCGGGUCGGCAUGGUCUUUGUCGACGGCGGAUUUGUUUUCCGGGUGGGUCGCUUUGUUGUUCCAUGGUGGCCCACUGCGGAUUGUGUUCGACGCGGGUGGAUUUCUGGUUUCCUGCUGCUCCUGUUCGGUUUGUUCGAGUCUUGCUUCGGUUCGCAAAGGAGGAGGAGGAGUUGGGUGGUCAGAGGAGGAAGCUGGACGGCCGAUGGUCACGUAUCGAGGAUGUCUUGCGGUUUAACUUCGUUUGUCAGCUUCAUCGUCUGGGAGAGCGGCGAAGACGGCGGUGUUGUGUUCCGGUGCGGGGUGCGGCAGAUCGACGAGAUGCUCAGGCAGCUGGAUCCGAGGAAGGACUUCUUUGUAAUUUUCUUUUACUUAGGGGCCCUUCUGCAAAAAAGGGGGAGCACUGUACUUGUCUCUGUUGUCUUUUAAUAUGAUGUUUUCCCUUCUCGCAAAAAAAAAGUUACUGGACUCAACAGCUGGCGGGAAGUUUUUCCAGCGAAAAGCAUAUCUCCGAUCGUUCAAAUCAAAAGAUGAUAUCCUCCCACUAUUUAUCAUAAAAAAACAACAGCAUCGUCAUGUUUCAGACAAGUGAUCUAAUCACCGCAUGAUAUUCUACAACCACCAGAAGCUCCAAAAAAUUAGAGAUGCUACGUAACCUACUAUCCGCUAGAAUAUUUAUAUGUCUAAUAAUGUUGUGCUCAGCUUACUUUUGCCUUGAUCAGACAUCAAAGUAAUACCUAGCUAUAUAAUUUAUUAAUACAUAACUGAUUACAAAUAAA